CCCAAACAGUAUUGCACAACAUUUCCACCUUUUAAAAACCUUCGCCUCUCAGACUGCUCUGAGGUUGCAAUCAAAUCUAUUGGUGAAUUCAUUAUUAAUCAUUCAGAAUCAGAAUCUCUGUUAAAUACAAUCACCAAGGUGAGUGGGAGCAUUGAAAAUUUUGUUGCUUUAGAAAGUCUCUGGCUACAUAAGUCCAAAGCAGAAAAUAUACUGUGUCUCAAUGAAAUAGAAGGAGAACCAUUGAACUUAAGGUUGCGAUGGAUUUACUUAUACGAUCUGCAUUAUAUGAUGUACCUUUUU